GAUGAACGCUGGCGGCGUGCCUAAUACAUGCAAGUCGAGCGAACAGAUGAGAAGCCUGCUUCUCUGAUGUUAGCGGCGGACGGGUGAGUAACACGUGGGUAACCUACCUAUAAGACUGGGAUAACUCCGGGAAGCCGGGGCUAAUACCGGAUAAUAUUUUGAACCGCAUGGUUCAAUAGUGAAAGACGGUUUCGGCUGUCACUUAUAGAUGGACCCGCGCCGUAUUAGCUAGUUGGUAAGGUAAUGGCUUACCAAGGCGACGAUACGUAGCCGACCUGAGAGGGUGAUCGGCCACACUGGAACUGAGACACGGUCCAGACUCCUACGGGAGGCAGCAGUAGGGAAUCUUCCGCAAUGGGCGAAAGCCUGACGGAGCAACGUCGCGUGAGUGAUGAAGGUCUUCGGAUCGUAAAACUCUGUUGUUAGGGAAGAACAAAUUUGUUAGUAACUGAACAAGUCUUGACGGUACCUAACCAGAAAGCCACGGCUAACUACGUGCCAGCCGCCGCAGUAA
rnacentral:rRNA from 1 species